rnacentral:lncRNA from 1 species
UGCGCUCGCGCUUCCGGGUCGGGGCUUGGCCCUGUAGAUAGUUCGGGCGAGUCGGACGUUGACUUACUGCGCCCGGUGCUGGGUCAGAAGUGCAACCUUCCUUCAGCGUUCCCAGCCUGCCACGAGUGGACAAUCCGAUGUUGCCCCCCCCUCCGUGCCCAGGGACGCAUUGGGCCCCAGGAGGCGUCCCCGGGGCGCGGAGCAUCAUUUCUGUCCCCUCGCCGUCAGACACUCGUGCCUUGUAAGCGCGCAGUCUGCAGAGUGGAGACCUGCGUGGGAGGCAGGAAGACUUUGGAUGGGGAUGUCCGAGGAGGUUGGGGUGUCACAGUGGGAGAUACGGAACCCACGCACCACAGGAGGCUAUAUUGGGAGUGGUGAGGCUUACGUUGCAGAUGCUAGUGGAAGAAAGGAGAACCAUGCCAGAACAUCCCGUGAGUGUCUGCAAACGAGAGUCACCUGCUGAAGUUAGGAAGUUCAUUAUUGAGCUGGUUCUGGUGUCCGUUGCUAGUAGGAUAUGCUGAAGAGGCAGAAGCAGGAAUAUCAGGAGUUGAGGCCAGCCUGGGUUACACCUUGUGUUGGAGUACCUUCUGCUCUUCCAGAGGAACAAAGUUUGGUUCCCAGAGUCCCUGCGGAGUAUUUCACAACCUCCUAUCACUCCAGGUUCUUCCAGGGAUCUCUGGGAGUACCUGAGUUUGUGUGGCGGACAUUGACCACAUUCAUCCAUUAAAACAAACUAAAACGUG